GAUUCUCCUAUCUCAGCCUCCUGUGCCAUUGGGAUCACAGGCAUCCCUCAAUCCUGCCAAGUUGAGGACUAAAAUGAACCGUCCCUGCCGCCCUCAGCCCCAUACUGCUGCAGCUCGGUCCUCUGAAUCGCAGAGCAGCACCUACCUGGAACGCAGCUGCAUGGGCACCUGUCUUCUAGAGACUUUUAUAGGUCACUGAAGACAGCCUGGGCUGACGGCGGAACACAAGGUUCAAGGUGGAGAAUUGCCAGCCCCUGCCUCAGCCCUGCUCUGUGACGGCGUUUACAGGGAGGGUCAGAGGAGGACAGGGAAAACUGCCCCAUGACAAAACUUUAAAGCCCUGCAAAAGGCUCUGAGAUAGUCCAUUUCCUUGCUGCCCUUGGAUGCCUGCUCCACGUUCCUCCGGUAAGCUCCCCAGAGACGGCCACUCUUAGCAGCUUCCUGAGCGCGUCCCUGCAGAGCGCAUCCCUGCAGAGAGGUUCCUCGCACGCACAGGCAGAUGUGGACACGCUGCCCUGGACCUGGCUUUUUUCACGUGAGCCCCUUGGAGCUUUUCCUCAUCAGGUCACAGAGAGUGGCCGGCUGUACCCAAUGCUCCUCCGCAUCUAUCCUAAGAAUCCAAGCGUCAUCCUGCAGCAAGACCUGCCCACCAGGUUUACAGCAUCCCAGGUCACAGUAGCCCAACCAAGAAACAGACCUCUGUGUCCACCAAAGAAAAAUGCACUAUGGAUUUACUGUGGAGUUGGGUUUUUUUUUUAACAUUGUUUUUUUAAAUUUUAAUUUACGGGGCUGGGGAUGUGGCUCAAGCGG